CCUACGGGUGGCAGCAGUGAGGAAUAUUGGUCAAUGGGCGCGAGCCUGAACCAGCCACGUAGCGUGAAUGAUGACGGCCCUACGGGUUGUAAACUUCUUUUUUACAGGAAUAACUUCCUGCACGUGUGUCUUUUUGUAUGUACUUUAUGAAUAAAGACCGGCUAAUUCCGGGCCAGCAGCCGCGGUAAUACGGAGGGUCCGAGCGUUAUCCGGAUUUAUUUGGUUUAACGGGAACGUAGAGGGGUUGUUAAGUCAGGUGUGAAAGUCUGCGGCUCAACCGGACCAGUGCAAUGGAUACUGGCAGUCUUGAGUGCAGAAGAGGCAGGCGGAAUUCGUGGUGUAGCGGUGAAAGGCUUAGAUAUAACGAAGAACUCCGAUUGCGAAGGCAGCUUACUGGACUGCAACUGACGCUGAGGCUCGAAAGUGUGGGUAUCAAACAGGAUUAGAUACCCGAGUAGUC
rnacentral:rRNA from 1 species